UACGUAGGCAGCAAGCGUUGUUCGGAGUUACUGGGCGUAAAGAGUAUGUAGGCGGUUGCGUAAGUUCGGUGUGAAAUCUCCCGGCUUAACUGGGAGGGUGCGCCGAAAACUGCGUGGCUAGAGUGCGGGAGAGGAGAGCGGAAUUCCUGGUGUAGCGGUGAAAUGCGUAGAUAUCAGGAGGAACACCGGCGGUGUAGACGGCUCUCUGGACCGUUACUGACGCUGAGGAGCGAAAGCGUGGGGAGCGAACAGG
rnacentral:rRNA from 1 species